AGCAGCAUGGCGCAGUGGUAGCGCGCGGGGCCCAUAUUCCUUUACUUGUGGAACCCCGAGGUCACUUGAUCGAAACAAGUUGCUGCUA